rnacentral:rRNA from 1 species
UUGCUUAGGCAGUGAGGGAAUAUUGGUCAAUGGCCUAACUGCUGAACCAGCAACUUGGAGGAAUGAAUAGGGAAAAUUGGUAAAAAGGUGAUUACCUAGUUAUAUGAAAUCCUAAGUAAUAUAAUAUUAACAAUGUUAAAUAAAGUUCUAAGUAGGUAUUGAUUAUGACAGUAUUUGCUUAUGUCUUGACCAAGUCACGUGCCAGCAGUCGCGGUAACACGUGGAAGAUUAGUGUUAUUCAUAUUUAAAAGGUUUAAAGGGUACCUAGACGGUUAGUAAAACACAUAAAUGUAUUAACUAACUAGAGUUUAAUGUAAGAAAGAUAUAGUACGGUGAGUGAAGAGAUAAAAUUUUAUGAUACCACUUAGGAACUGGUAAGGCGAAGGCAACUUUCUAUGUAAAAACUGACGUUAAGGGACGAAGGCACGAUUAAAAGAAUAGGAUUAGAUACCCUAGUAUUGCGAGCAGUAAAUGAUGAGUGUCAUAUGCAAGAAAUUUUUUGUGUAUAAAUGAAAGUGUAAGCACUCCACCUCAUGAGUAACGUGGCAACAUGGGAACUGAAAUCAUUAGACCGUUUCUGAAACUCGUAGUGAAGUAUGUUGUUUAAUUUGAUAAUCCACAAAUAACCUUACCACAAUUUGAAUUGCAUCAAUCAGUUUAAUAGGCUGAAUGAUGCAACAAGUGUUGCACGGCUGUCUUCAGUCAAUGUUGUGAAACUGUGGUUAGAUCCAUUAAAUUGACGUAAACCCUCACUCUACUUGUUGUAGAGUGGUUCGCCGCUAUAUUGGUAGUGAUAUAAGGGACUAAGACAAGUCAUCACGACCUGAACAUUGUGGGCUAUAGACGUGCCACAUA